GAGGCUGCAAAAGGAAGAGCCCCAACCUGGCGCAGCACACAUCUGCUCCAAACCACUUCCUUUCCCUUUAAUCUAGUUUUGCUCCGGUUUUUAAUUCCUCCCCCCACCCUGACACCCCCGACCCAGAAGAGGGAAGAGGCGGUACGCGGACCUCUCACUGUUGUGGUGUUUCCCGUUGCGGAGGACGCGCAGGCUCAGCGGCCAUGGCGGCACGCGGGAUCCUCCUGGACCGGGGCAGGAGCCUGCGUCCCCUGCAUCCGCAGGCGGAUUCUCAACCACUGCGCCACCAGGGAAGCCCUCCUUUCACCUUUGACUGCUGCUGAGUGAUCAAAUUAUAUCUUCAUCCCUGAAUUCCAGAGUAGGAGGAGAGCUGAUCUAAAUUAUUCAAAAACAGUUACUUGUAACAUUACACAAAAAUUUUAGGUAAAGAUUGGCCUGAAGCACUUUCUUGAGCUGUUUUGCAGAAUUCAAACCCCCGUCAAGCGCUCAUCAGAUCAACUGGAAUCUUAAGGGAUGAUGAUGUUGACAUCUUCUGACCCUCUUGGCUUUAAUCAACUAAAGCUUGAACUCUGUUGACCUUUGUCCCAAUUCUAUGCUGACGUCUCUGCUCAGACCCCUUCAUGAAUAUGCAUGUACCCUUAGCUUAAACUCUUACCCAAUUUUGCUGUUUGGGGAGAUACUGCUUUGGGAAAGAUCCCUAGUGUUCUUCUUACUUGCUGCAAGUAAUAAAUCCCUCUUUCUCCCUAUCUUUGGCCUGGGUGUGUCUUUUGGCUCAACACCCACUAAGAGGCGAACCCAGUUUUCAGGUAACAGGAGGAAUGACACUAGUAAUAUGUCAGCAGUGGUUAUUUUUGCAUGGCAAUAUUAAGGGAGAUUUAAGUAAGUUCUUUUUUGUUUUGUGUAUUUCGGGGUUUUCCAAGCUCUCUGUAUUGAGUCCAUAUUAUUUGCAUUAUUAGAAAAAAUAUUUAAAAUGUACACUUGUAUAUUACUGUAGUACAAACGGAAGAGAUGGAGAAGGGUUGAAAAGGUGUUUUGGAUAUUUUUAAACGAGUAUUGUCAUAAACUGAAAUAUAGCAAUAAAUACAUGUACUCAAAUAUUUAAGCCAGUUGAUAGCUCUGUCUGGGAAAUUAUGAGGCCGAGGAACAAAUAGCACAGCAGUUAGUGGGCACUAUGCCCUUUUCCCCAAAUCUUUUUCUGAUCUCCUUUCAAAAGGAGCCCUCCCUCAAUAUUAGUUUUUAGAAAGGUGUAGGAUUCUGAAUUUUCUUUUUGGCCUCAUGGCUUGUGGGAUGUUAGUCUGGGCAGUGAGAGCACAGAGUCCUAACCACUGGACUGCCAGGGAAUUCCCCAGGAUUCUGAUUUUUAUUACCCCUUAGAUUGCAUCAAGCUCCAGGCAGCUAUACCAAAAAAACCCUGAGAUAGUGUGGAUUCAGAUAUGAAAGGACUAGCUAUUGGCUCCCACUCUCAGAAGCCAACUCAACCCCAA